CAAACGACUCUCGGCAACGGAUAUCUCGGCUCUCGCAUCGAUGAAGAACGUAGCGAAAUGCGAUACUUGGUGUGAAUUGCAGAAUCCCGUGAACCAUCGAGUCUUUGAACGCAAGUUGCGCCCGAAGCCGUUAGGCUGAGGGCACGUCUGCCUGGGCGUCACG
rnacentral:rRNA from 2 species